UUAGUCUCCAAAAUCACAUUGUACACGACAUGGGAUACAUGGGAUGUACACGUGUACACGACAUGGGAUGCACAAAAUCAAUUUGUACAAGACAUAGAUGUACACAAUCACAUUGUACAGAAUGUACACGACAUGGGAUGUACACAAUCACAUUGUACAGCAAACAACAAUCUUUCUACAUGGAAGCAUGCUCCCAUAUUGGAACAAAUUGAUGGGACGAGAUUUGCGGAAAAUAUUUCACAAGCACUGAUGGUUAUGCAUUGAAAGCUAGAUCUUGGAAGGCUUUUAUUCUUUUUAACACUUCUAAAUAUGUUUGCAUGUUUAACAUAUAUACUUUCAAAAGAAAUUUACAUGUACACAUGUUUUCACUAUCGAUAAGGGCUAAUGUGUACAAUAUACAUAUCAUAUUUUAUCAGAUAUUUACAUAUGUUUGAGAUAGAUGUUAGAUGUCCAAGAUGUUGUAAAGUUAUGUACAUUCGUUAGUGUACAUGUGUACAUGUAUACAUUAAAUGUUGGUAACAUAUAUGUGUACAAUACAUAUGGUAGUGUACAUGUGUACAUCACUGGAAAAUUAAAUUAAUUCCAUUCAAAGAUGAAAUGGUAAUAGAAUAUGACUUCAUAUCAUUAUACAAAGCUUAAUGAAGUUGAUUCUCAAAUGGUAGUAGAAUAUGACUUUCAUAUCAUUAUACAAAGCUUAAUGAAGUUGAUUCUCAAAUGGAAGUAGAAUAUGUCUUUCAUAUCUCUUUAACAUGUACAUGCGUACACUAACAUUUGUGUAUACAUCAUCGUGCUCACCCAAUGUACUCGUGUACACGAAGAAAUGUACAUACACGAAACACAAAAUAUAUGUUUGGUUUGGAUCAAAGCCGUAUGCAACCUGUAUGUAUUGAACUUCUUUCUUUCUCUCUCCUCCCAUUUCAUCCUCUCCAACAUUCCCGAGAUUCCCAGAUUUCAGAUUAUGUCUCUCGCUUGGGAAUCGGUCUGUCGCAAAAAGCCUCCCAGCCAGAAGUUCUUUAAAAUCAUCAAGGCCAUGCGCCUCUUCGCCGCUCCGCACCCCCCCCCUCGAUAUCCUCCACCGCUUCGUCACCUUCGGUUAUCACCUUAAUCACCUACGUUCGCUUUCAGCCGCAGACUCCGUCUCCUCGACAUCGUCGCCGGAAUCUUCAUCGUACGCUGUUAAACUCUCACCGGCCGGAAAUCGCCUCCUAUUCCUCUCAAACAGAGUUUCGAGAUUUACUCUCGGUAACUGAUGUUUGUCAAAAGGUAAAGGUGAAAGUAAUUAAUAACACGACUCCACCACUCCCGUUUCGAAAUUCAAAAACCGAACCAAAAAAUAUAAUAAAAUAAUUAACCUAACUAAAUGAAACGACCAGUUACGCUUUUUGGAGUCUUUCCAUUGAAAAAACUAACUCUGUAGCGGGAACUGCUCUAUUAUGUAAAAGAAAACUUGAAACUGCCCCUGUGUGUAAUAAACUCAAAAAAUAAUAUAUUCUUCCUCAAUUGUGAAAAGAUCUCAUUCUUCAAUCGAUGAUCAACUUUUCGUAUGGACUAAUUCAGGUUAUGGCGAAACCCCACAACAUUAUAUAUGAUCAUUAGAUUGGGAGAGAUACUAGAAAAAUCCUAAGAUAUUUAAUCAUUUGGAUCAAACUGUUAAUGACCACAAACAGAGAAGGGCCUCCAGUGCUGCUGUAAACCACAUUCAUAUACAAUUUUUACCAUAAGAAGAGUGGUUCCAACUUCAAAGGCAGAGAAUAAGAGUAGAAAUUUAACCUGAUCCAAGGUGGCAGAAAAUUCGUUAAUCCUCCUCCCAAGUUGUGUCUAUGUAACGUGCUGUCAAAGUAUUUUCCAAAAUAACAAAAUGUGUUAAACUACAUGGACGAAAAAGAACAACACAUAAGUAGAUCUUGCUCCUCUGGCUAUUCACAGUUAUGUUUUUGUAUGAUAACAUAGAACAAUAACACAAAUUCAUAUCCAGUUCCUCCAAAAUGAAAGACCAAUUUUGAAGAUGACAUGGCACAAAGAUAAUUUAUGACAGGCUGAUUUUUGUAGCUGACGUGGAUAGGCUAAAUGAAGUUCAUAUCCCCCUUUUAAUAUUAGUAGGUACUCAGUUUGGGUUUUCAAAUUCAGAUAGGACAUUAGAAGAGGGCAAUAAAUGUCUAAACCAGCAACAAGGUUUCAAGUUCUGAACUAUCAUUUGCAAAAUUCUUCAAACUUGUACCAACAAUAAAUCUAGAGACAUAGGAUCAUCUCAAACAACCCAUCAAGCAGUAAUCUCUUUGUUGAGCUUUGCAAGCUCCUGUCUUACCACAACGGCCCUCUGCAAGUUACAACACAUGAAAUCCAUUCAACAAAGUGACUAGGACAAGUAAAUGAUUAUGAACUUAACAUUAGCAUUAGAAGCAUAACAAUGAUUUUGAGCUUUCACAUUUUCUUUAGAUAGAACAAGCCAUUUGAAAACAUCUAUGUAUCUUAUGAGUACAAAGAAGGCAGAUAAGGGAUCAUUAAGCAUCAAGGAGAGUGUAAUUGUAGUAAAACAGAGAGAGAUGGAAACUGGCCUUGAUUUUUACCUCUGUAAUGCAACAGAUUUAGGUGAUUUGAUCAUUGUGUUCUAUAUUUGUGAUAAAAUGUUUAUUAGAUUAUCUUAUGAUAUUUCUCUGAUAAAAAUGCAAUCCAAAAUCAUCCAUCAAAUAUUAUUUACCAUAAAUUAAUGUCUGAUCUCUACAUAAAAUCCAAAGUUUAUUAAAAAAUAUUAUUAUUCUUUCUAAAACAUAAUUUAAAAAAAUUCAAAAUUUAAAAUUAAUUAAAUUAUGUUCUUGUGCACCAAUCUGUGUGAUACUGAAUUAGAAAUUUGAAAUAGAUAAAUGGUAAAAAAGUUAUACAUGUACUAGUUGUUGCUUUUAUACUUGAUUAAACUAAAUAAAAAAUAAAUACUAUAUCCAAUAAAAUUUACUCAAAUUCCCUGAAAUUUCAUCUAUGAUAGAUCCAUAGAAAGAAUUCAUAUAUAUAGAUAUAUAUAUAAGGCUUUUGAAUUGUUUCUUAAUCAAUAGCAUUUCCUCAUAUAAAUCAAGUUUUUUAUUUUUUACUUUUACCCAAAAAAUAUAGACUGUGAAUUAGAUAUCUAUUUUCGGAAAAAUAUUAGCGAGUCUAAUGCAUUAGUUUACCAAUUACGUAAAACAAAAUCUGGAAUUAUGCAAAACCACAUCAUUUCAUCUAAAUUAAAGGAGGCAAGUAGCUUAAAUUAGAUAUAUUGUAACGUAGGAUACAUUUGAAUUCUUAUAUAUACAUAUACUUUCUUGUUUGUUUCUUGUUCUUUACACACAACAAAUUUUAUGAUAAAAAGCAUAAUCAAUUCAUUUAUAUUACACAAGGAUGAAAAAAUCACUUAUAUUUUCAUUUAAUGUUUUACCUCUCCUCAUCAUUCUUGUACUAGUGGUCAGAGCGAUGGGGCAAGGGAAUAAAAAUAAAAAAGAUACAUGUCCCAUAUAUCUAGAUAACCAAAAGCCUGAAAGUUGUCAAGACAAGCCAGCUUGCCUAUCUGCGUGCAAGAAGAAGACAGAAGGGUCAGGGAUGCAGGAAAUAACCACUGGUUGCAUCUCAGGAAACAAAUGUGCAUGCUAUGUCCCAUGUCCAAAAUGAUCUUAAUGUUUAUUUUAUUGAAAACAAAAUUCAUAUAUAUUUAUAAUAAAUUAAGAUGUGAUUUAUAGUAAUAAUUAAAUAAGUUGUCAAAUUAUGUUAUUGUCAAAUUAUGAUAAGAAUAAAAUAUGAUCUUUUGCAGA